GACGAACGCUGGCGGCGUGCCUAAUACAUGCAAGUAGAACGCACAGUUUAUACCGUAGCUUGCUACACCAUAAACUGUGAGUUGCGAACGGGUGAGUAACGCGUAGGUAACCUGCCUGGUAGCGGGGGAUAACUAUUGGUAACGAUAGCUAAUACCGCAUAAUAUUAAUUAUUGCAUGAUAAUUGAUUGAAAGAUGCAAUUGCAUCACUACCAGAUGGACCUGCGUUGUAUUAGCUAGUAGGUGAGGUAACGGCUCACCUAGGCGAGGAUACAUAGCCGACCUGAGAGGGUGAGCGGCCCCACUGGGACUGAGACACGGCCCAGACUCCUACGGGAGGGAGCAGUAGGGAAUCUGCGGCAAUGGGCGAAAGUCUGACCGAGCAACGCCGCGUGAGUGAAGAAGGUCUUCGGAUCGUAAAGCUCUGUUGUAAGAGAAGAACGGGUGUGAGAGUGGAAAGUACACACUGUGACGGUAUCUUACCAGAAAGGGACGGCUAACUACGUG
rnacentral:rRNA from 1 species